ACACAUGCAGUCGAGCGGUAGAGAGGUGACUUGCACCUCUUGAGAGCGGCGGACGGGUGAGUAAUGCCUAGGAAUCUGCCUGGUAGUGGGGGAUAACGCUCGGAAACGGACGCUAAUACCGCAUACGUCCUACGGGAGAAAGCAGGGGACCUUCGGGCCUUGCGCUAUCAGAUGAGCCUAGGUCGGAUUAGCUAGUUGGUGGGGUAAUGGCUCACCAAGGCGACGAUCCGUAACUGGUCUGAGAGGAUGAUCAGUCACACUGGAACUGAGACACGGUCCAGACUCCUACGGGAGGCAGCAGUGGGGAAUAUUGGACAAUGGGCGAAAGCCUGAUCCAGCCAUGCCGCGUGUGUGAAGAAGGUCUUCGGAUUGUAAAGCACUUUAAGUUGGGAGGAAGGGCAUUAACCUAAUACGUUAGUGUUUUGACGUUACCGACAGAAUAAGCACCGGCUAACUCUGUGCCAGCAGCCGCGGUAAUACAGAGGGUGCAAGCGUUAAUCGGAAUUACUGGGCGUAAAGCGCGCGUAGGUGGUUCGUUAAGUUGGAUGUGAAAGCCCCGGGCUCAACCUGGGAACUGCAUUCAAAACUGUCGAGCUAGAGUAUGGUAGAGGGUGGUGGAAUUUCCUGUGUAGCGGUGAAAUGCGUAGAUAUAGGAAGGAACACCAGUGGCGAAGGCGACCACCUGGACUGAUACUGACACUGAGGUGCGAAAGCGUGGGGAGCAAACAGGAUUAGAUACCCUGGUAGUCCACGCCGUAAACGAUGUCAACUAG
rnacentral:rRNA from 1 species